UGUGAAGACUCGGACGGGGGGUGGCAGUGGGGGGUAAAUAGGAGCCUAUAUAAGAAAAGACCCCAAAAUCAGGAUUGUCUCGAUUUUAUAGGGAUAUCAGGUCACCCUAUAGGUGAGGGCUGUGUAAGAGAAAGGAGCUAUUCAUGACCCUGGAAUUCACUGUCACAAACAGCCCCAGCUGGUGACUCCAGAUCUGGAGUGUAAUUUGACUCAUUUGAGAGUUUAGAGUCAGCCAGAGCCUUCCCCCUACAGCUCCCUUGGAGGGGGAGGGGCAUGAGACAGGUCACUUUGCACAAAUGACAAGGUGGUGACGACCCGCGACUCUGUUGUGAUGCAGUGAUUGUUAGGUCAGCCCCCAGGGGCUGCAGCAUUUCACACCAGGCUGUCGCCCAGAGCACAUGGCUGCUGCCUGUGGGUCUGAGUACAGGGACCAGGGUGAUGAAGCAGGGUCUUCUGGGACCAACCUGCUUCCAUUGCUAAAGGGAACGUGAGACACAGAAGGAUGAAGGAAAGUAUUCUUGUCCAACUGCAACGUAAUCUCUUCUUUCUGUUGAUUUGAUCACUGCAGCUUGUCUGUCAGAAGUAGUAAGAGAACCUGUUCCUAUCAAGAGGUAAGGAAUGCACCUUCUCCUAGCAAUGGAGUGGAAACUAACCAAUCUCAGUGUACUUUCAGGUGAAGGAAGUGAAUCUAUCCUUUGCUGUCAAAGGCUACAAGCAGUUUCAUAACAGUAAAGCAAGAUACAUAACCAAAGCUUCUGAGAGGUUACAGAAGUAUUGACUUGCUCUAGCCAAGAAUAAGGAAACCACUUAUACCUACCAGAUUAACAAUACAGCUGAUUGUAUGGAGAGAAAGAGAGAAACCAAUCCAGCAAUUCAUCACACAGAAGAAGGUCAUAUUUCAAGAUGCAAGGAUGACACAUGGCUGUAGUUUACAGGAAGGAAUUAGCGGAUCCAUCCUUUUAAGGAGGUAAGAAAUAUGGGAAUGGUGUAUUGUAAUAGUCAAUGGUUCUUGUCAUACUUUCAGGUGGAAGGAAGGUAACUGAUGAAAUCUUCCUCUCUAAAGAGCACAAGAAGUUGCUGUACUGAAUAAAGCAAUAAAAAUGGGAGCUACCUGUUCAGAUGAAAGCAAAGUAGUUAGUAAUUCUAACCAAUGAUGAUGAUCUCUGCUCCUUUUCCCUUCCCAGAGAAGGCCAUUGGUUGUUCCUACAAGGAUGUAACAGGGAAGUUAUUUCAAAGAACAAGUGCAACUAACCAGAGUGUGAAAAUGAGCAUUGAGCCUGCUCUUGCAUUUGCAGAGAGGAGUUGUCCAGCUGAUUCUAUUUGUGCCUAAUUGAUCAUUGUUGCUUAUUUUUCAGAUGUCAAGAACUAAGUGGAACUGAUCAUUUCUAUCAAGAGGUAAGGAACGCACCUCCUCACAGCAUGGAGGCACAAAUUAAAGGCUCUGUUUCUAUUUUCAGGUGAAAGGAAGGUCUUACCAUUCAAGGGAGGAUGAGAGGCUGCUGAAUUUAAGAAAAAAGAAGAAGUCAGACAGGUAACAAUACUUGGCCAAAUGGAAAACCAUCUUUUACUUCUAGUUCAGAAAAAGGCAAGCAGCCAUUUAUAAGCUUCAGGUUUUUAACCAGUGUAGCUGACUUUACCUCUAAGAAUCAAAGCCUUGCGGUGGAACAUGACUGACAAGUAGAUGAGCACUGAAAGGUCUCUAGAAGCCUAAUGAUCUGGAUGCUAAGGAACUUUCUCCAUUGAUGACUCUUCAUAGCUGGCAAUGAGUAAUAAUAAAUAAAUCUGUCAAACACUGAUUGCAGGUUUUGCUCUUCUGAGAUAUGAAGAGACCAGGUGGUCAUUCCUACCAGGGAGAAGUGAGGCUCAGUGGCAUGGCUGUCCUGGGCAAGGAGACAAAAAAGCCACUUCAAAUAGUUCAGCUAGUCGCAAAUCUCAAUCAAGUCAGCAGAACAUCACAGACAUGGAGAUGAGAGAAAUGCAGCCGAGUUGAACGUUGAGGGUGUGAAAACUUCAGGAAGUUGCUAGAAGAUUUGGGAUAUCUACAGAAAGGAAACAAGCAAAACUCGUCACUGCUACCAAGAGGAGGAGAGAGUUACAGAUGCUCAGGAUUUGACUACAAAGGAACAGGAAUGGAGUUGAACAGAUCCAACACCUGAAAGGACGAUUGGAUCUCAAAAUGAGAGACCCUUCAUUCAAUAAAGCAACAGGAUUGGCUCUGAGGAGAGGCAAGAGCCAGCGUGGACAGUAUUCAAAACACAAUAUUCAAAAGUUGCUGCUGGGAUGGAAGCAAAGAAGAAAGCCCUGGAGACAGGUUAGUGCUGGGACACAGACACUAUCCUGGAGGGGCCUGGGACAGGGUGUGUAACCAUAGCGACCAGUGGGUCCUUUCCCCACUGUGGUCCUGGCUCGCAUGCACAGGGUGUAACCGAUCGCCAUGUUUGGGGUCAGGAAGGAAUUUUCCUCCAGGGCAGAUUGGCCAGAGAUCCUGGAGGUUUUUCGCCUUCCUCUGGGGCAUCGAGCAGGGACCAGCCCUUAGGGCCAUUUAGGAACAGACAUAAUAAAAUCCAUC